rnacentral:rRNA from 1 species
CCAGACUCCUACGGGAAGGCAGCAGGGAGGAAUAUUGGUCAAUGGGCGGGAGCCUGAACCAGCCAAGUCGCGUGAGGGAUGACGGCCCUAUGGGUUGUAAACCUCUUUUGCCGGGGAGCAAAGUGCCGCACGUGUGCGGUUUGGAGAGUACCCGGAGAAAAAGCAUCGGCUAACUCCGUGCCAGCAGCCGCGGUAAUACGGAGGAUGCGAGCGUUAUCCGGAUUUAUUGGGUUUAAAGGGUGCGUAGGCGGACGCUUAAGUCAGCGGUAAAAUUGCGGGGCUCAACCUCGUCGAGCCGUUGAAACUGGGUGCCUUGAGUGGGCGAGAAGUACGCGGAAUGCGUGGUGUAGCGGUGAAAUGCAUAGAUAUCACGAAGAACUCCGNUUGCGNNGGCNGCGUCCCGGCGCCCCNCUGNCGCUGNNGCCCGNNGGCNUGGGUAUCUCUUAAAAGGNNCUNCCCUGGUAGUCCACGCAGUAAACGAUGAAUGCUAGUUGUCCGGGGCGAUUGAGUUCUGGGUGACACAGCGAAAGCGUUAAGCAUUCCACCUGGGGAGUACGCCGGCAACGGUGAAACUCAAAGGAAUUGACGGGGGCCCGCACAAGCGGAGGAACAUGUGGUUUAAUUAAGAUGAUACGCGAGGAACCUUACCCGGGCUCAAACGCAGGAGGGAUGUUUUUGAAAGGAGGCAGCCAGCAAUGGUCUCCUGCGAGGUGCUGCAUGGUUGUCGUCAGCUCGUGCCGUGAGGUGUCGGCUUAAGUGCCAUAACGAGCGCAACCCCUACCUACAGUUGCCAUCGCGUGAUGGCGGGCACUCUGUGGGGACUGCCUGCGCAAGCAGUGAGGAAGGCGGGGAUGACGUCAAAUCAGCACGGCCCUUACGUCCGGGGCGACACACGUGUUACAAUGGAAGGUACAGCGGGAAGCCACCCGGCGACGGGGCGCGGAACCCGAAAACCUGUCUCAGUUCGGAUUGG